CCUACGGGUGGCAGCAGUGGGGAAUAUUGGGCAAUGGGCGCAAGCCUGACCCAGCAACGCCGCGUGAAGGAAGAAGGCUUUCGGGUUGUAAACUUCUUUUUACAGGGAAGAGUAGCAGACGGCACCUGUCGAAUAAGCCACGGCUAACUACGUGCCAGCAGCCGCGGUAAUACGGAGGUGGCAAGCUUUGUCCGGAUUUACUGGGUGUAAAGGGCGUGUAGCCGGGUUGACAAGUCAGAUGUGAAAUCCUGCGGCUUAACCGCAGAACUGCAUUUGAAACUGUUGCUCUUGAGUACUGGAGAGGCAGGCGGAAUUCGUAGUGUAGCGGUGAAAUGCGUAGAGAUUAGGAGGAACACCAGUGGCGAAGGCAGUCUGCUGGACAGCAACUGACGGUGAGGCGCGAAAGCGUGGGGAGCGAACAGGAUUAGAUACCCCUGUAGUC
rnacentral:rRNA from 1 species